AUGUUAUUCUUUUGGAGUAAAAUACAAUUAAUUGAAUAAAAUUUAUGCCCCAGUGGCUCACUCCAUCAACGAGGAGUACAGGUGAGUAUGUUCAGAAAAAACCAAAUAAUGCUGGACACGUAUUAGGACAAGUUAGUUAAACCCAACUUUCUUAAGAUGCGUAGCUAGGCCACAUUCUCACUGAAACAAGGGGGAGGUUCAGGGAGGCUGCAGUAGAGAAUAUUAUGCAAUAUACAAAAGUAUGACAUAAAGCACAAGCAUAAGGCCUGUCUAAUUAAGUGCCAGCAGUCGCGGUAAAACUUAAAAUAAGGCAAAGUCUUUGUUGUAAAAGGCGUAGAGCGUGUGUAUGCGAUGCUUGCUAUUCUAUUUCUGCUUAAUGUUCUCUUAUAUUUAACUUGAAAUACUAGAUAGUUAAAUUAUAGAUAACAUAUAAUUGAGAUGUCAUAGAUUUAAUAAAAGUGAAAAAUACAAUUGGAUUGUAGCGGUUGAAUGCGUAAAGAGAUUUUAGAAUUAAAAAUUAAUUAAAUUUUUCAUAUGGCAGCCAGCUGAAACACUAAAGUGUGGAUAGUAAAUGGGACUUGUGGCCCAGUAGCCCAUGCUGUAAACAAUGAAGUUAGGUACUAUUACCUGUUUAAUCAAAGUUUCGCCAGAGUAGUACGAUCGCAAGAUUAAAAUUCAAAAAAUUUGACUGUUCCCUAUUUAAUUAGAGGAGCGUGUGGUUUAAUUCGAUGGUCCGCGAAACACCUUACCCCAGUUUGAAUCAAAACAACCGACAAGUACUGCAUGGCCGUCGUCAGUUGGUGUGUCAAACAAUUUCUCAAUCGACCCAACCCAUAUGUUGUGGACGAAGUCAGGUAUUAUGGUCUUUAUAGUGGGGGUGAAACAUGCGCUACAUUUUCUGUGACAACGUAGAUGGAAUUAGAGUUCGGAAGUAAUUUGAAGAAGAUUAUGGAAGCUGGAUUUAAUAGUAAUCAGAAAGUAGAGCGUUCUGGUGAACUUAUUAGUGUUAGUACAAAUUGCCCGUCACCUUUGCCUAAUAAGUGUUUGAAAGUGCAGUUUUACAACAAACAUUACAAAGACGAAGUAAGUCGUAACAUAGUGAGCGCAGGGGAACCUGUGCUUG
rnacentral:rRNA from 1 species